AUACGUAGGGUGCGAGCGUUGUCCGGAAUUACUGGGCGUAAAGAGCUCGUAGGUGGUUUGUCGCGUCGUCUGUGAAAUUCCGGGGCUUAACUCCGGGCGUGCAGGCGAUACGGGCAUAACUUGAGUACUGUAGGGGAGACUGGAAUUCCUGGUGUAGCGGUGAAAUGCGCAGAUAUCAGGAGGAACACCGGUGGCGAAGGCGGGUCUCUGGGCAGUAACUGACGCUGAGGAGCGAAAGCAUGGGUAGCGAACAGGAUUAGAUACCCUGGUAGUCCAUGCCGUAAACGGUGGGCGCUAGGUGUAGGGGUCUUCCACGACUUCUGUGCCGUAGCUAACGCAUUAAGCGCCCCGCCUGGGGAGUACGGCCGCAAGGCUAAAACUCAAAGGAAUGGACGGGG
rnacentral:rRNA from 1 species